AGAUCGAACUGAAGAGUUUGAUCCUGGCUCAGAUUGAACGCUGGCGGCAUGCCUUACACAUGCAAGUCGAACGGUAACGCGGGGCAACCUGGCGACGAGUGGCGAACGGGUGAGUAAUGCAUCGGAACGUGCCCAGUAGUGGGGGAUAGCCCGGCGAAAGCCGGAUUAAUACCGCAUACGACCUACGGGUGAAAGGGGGGGAUCGCAAGACCUCUCGCUAUUGGAGCGGCCGAUGUCAGAUUAGGUAGUUGGUGGGGUAAAGGCUCACCAAGCCGACGAUCUGUAGCUGGUCUGAGAGGACGACCAGCCACACUGGGACUGAGACACGGCCCAGACUCCUACGGGAGGCAGCAGUGGGGAAUUUUGGACAA
rnacentral:rRNA from 1 species